GCUCAGGCAGGCCGGUGGCAGGAACCAGGCCCGUGGAGGAGGGGUGCCCUUGUUGCCCACGUGUCCCACGAUCAGUUGCGCUGUCUGCCGCUCGGCCUGGCACCGACGGCCCCACUCGGCCAGCCGGUCCUUGCCCAGGCCCCCGGGGAACAUGACCACCAGCUCCAAGCCGUCGCCGCCGGGAUAGGCACAAGCCUGACAUAGCGCUGACAAGUAGCCCAGCAUGGCGUUCCAUUGGCCGCCACACACCCAAUCCGUCUGGUAGCCGCCAUAAAGCCGAGGCAGCGCUGAGCCCGCGUCCACCAGCACCCGGGCCCCGGGCAGCGGAGGGGGCGGCGGCGGCGGGUGCAGCCCGGGGUGCGCCUGGCCGUGAUGGUGGAAGUGGUGAGCGGGGUGAUGGUGCCGAGUCGGCCCCGCGCCCCCGGAGUAGGCACCCAAGGCAGCGGGCGCGAGCGGCGGUUGCAGAGGCGCGGAGCCCCUGGCGGCGCGUGGAGCCCCGGGCGCUAGGGCUGCUGUAGGCGGCAGCGGGCGAUGCUGCUGCUGCUGCUGCUGGCGCGAGACCGUACGCGCGAGUUUGAGGAGGUCCACGGGCACAACAGCCCCGGGACAGCGCUUCUCCAGGAACUCUUGGAAGCCCUGGACGCCCAUGCUUCGUCGGGAUCACCUAGGAGAGAAUACCUUGGAGUCAUUGUCAUAAAAUCAAGCAAUUCUCAAAAUGCUGCCCUGGAUGCCCCCAAAUGAUAGCAACAGAAUCUUCAUGAUGCUGAGUGUGAUCCUCAGGAGGGAUCGCGGAUGGAUUCUGAACUGAUGAAGCUGGAAAUGCCUGCAAAUUCAUCCCCGGCUGGAACAGUCCCCCAGAUUGGGUAGGAAUUACUACAGACUGUUGUGGUGUUCCUGAAAUUCCUACCCACUGUACCGGAUACCCUGGCCCCCCCACAGCAUUAUAUUGACAAACAUGGGGUAUUCCAUAUGAUGAUAAUGGCCCAGGAAAUGAAGGGCGUGAGAGUCCUUGUGGCAAGGAGGCUGGGACAGCUCCACGGAUUUGGGACAGAGAAGAAAUCCAUGUUGAUGUGUAGCCCAUAGUAGAUGGAGUAUUCUAACAAAAAAUAAAAACAAAAGAUCAGUUUAUUUGGUAGAUACUUUUACCCAUCUGUAUUCUUUUUGCCUUACUACUCUCCCAUUAUUAUUCUGACUGUCUACCAUUUUUGGAGUAACGUUCUGUGUGCUAAGCAUAGUUAUAUACCUUAUUUCAUUUCAUCUUCGUAACUGCCCUGCAAGGCAGGCAUUUUUAGAUGAGGAAACAGAAGCUCAAAAUUGAUAACACCCAUCACCACUUAGCAAGUUAAUAGUAAGGUGAGGAUUUGAACACAGUUCCAGCUAACUCCAAGACCCCUGCUAAAUUUCUGUUCACAGUUUAGUGUCUCCUUUCCUCGUGCUAGCACUACUCUUCAAUUUUUACUUCCUUCUGCCAGUCCCAGGCAGUCUCUCAUUCAGGGCCACAGACAACAGUAGUCCAUGUUACUACAUAAUUCUUUGAAGAAAGAGGAGCAUGAUUUAGAGUGGCAUAGGGGAAAGCCUGGCAUAUAGUAGGUGCUCAAGAAAUGUCACCUCCCUACCUCCUCCUACUCACUAUUUAAAGUCUGACAUUUCUGUUAUAUUUUUGGAAAUUUAAACUCAACAAUUAUGUUUUGGGCAGUACUAAGAAAACAUAUUCCUGCCUGACUCUUCUUAUUAUAUUGUAUUGUAAUUAUGUGUAUGUAUAGAGAUUACUGAAAUCUUAUGCACAUGGGAAUAAUAAGUCUAAAUGGAAGUAAAUAAUUCUUACUUAAAGGAGAGCUUGGUAUCAGUCCCAAAUUCUUAGUUCUUGUAAAUUCAUGGUCAAGCUAAAACACUUUCAACUAAAGUUUCAAACUACAGUUAGGUUAAAGGUUUUUAGCUUGACUCAAGAAUGAAUGACAAGAUCUCUUGAGGUAAAAAAGAAACAUUUGAAGUCCAGCAAUCCCUUUUUCAUAUCAGUAUUUUUGUUCUGUUAAAGUAAAACUAAAUACUUCUGAUUUUAAAAUAGCACAUAUAGUAUGAUCACAUUUUUGUAAAGCUAUUUCUAUGUAUUCAUAUACAGACAUAGAAAGAUAUCUGAAAUGAUGUUUAUCUAAAGUUAGUGACAAUUAUUUCUGGGUGGUAGGAUUUGAAGGUGGUAUUUUAAAAUUUUGUACUUUUCUGCAUUGAUUAAAUUCUAUAACAAACAUUAUUAUUUUACAAACAGUAACAAUGUGAUUUUUAUUUUAAAAAAAUUGGAGAUGACAUGUUAUACUUAAUCUUCUCUUGGAUAUUUAAAAGGCAUCUCAGAUUCAAAUGACCAAAACCAAAUGUAUGAUCUUUCUUCUACCAAAACACACUGCCUGCUCAUGUUCCCCUUCUUGAUGAUUGGUAUGCUGGAAUGAUAGCCAGUUAUACCAGCCAGAAACCUUGCCUUGACACCUCCCCUCUGCCAAACAUCAGUUCCAUCACUAAAUCUGGUCCAUUUUAUCUCUUAAACAUUUCUUGUAAUCUGUUCACUUCUCUUCAUCUCAGCUUCUCUCUCUCUCUUUUUUUAAAUUGAAGUAUAGUUAUUUAAAAAGUUGUUCAACUUCUCUUUAUCGGGCCUACUGUGACUAACUCUUAAUUGGUCUACCAACAUCUACCCUUAUCUUCAAUAAUCUUUCUUCUUGCUUCAAGCCAGAGUGAUCUUUUCAAAAAGCAAAUCUGGGGCUUCCCUGGUGGU